GAAGCACUAUCUCACUUUAUUGACAUUAUUGUCACCUACUCCCAAACUUACUGAUAUUUUUAAAACUUGGAGUAGGCUUCCCUUAAUUGGAGUUAUUAGUAUUUUAACAAUAAGUAGUUGUAGAUUCCUAAAUGGUGGCCUAAAGCAGGUUGAGAAAGGGAUGCAUAGUUAGAAGUAGAAUAAUAGUUUACUGAUGACCUUCAUUAAGUCUUUACUCUUUUCUCAGCAAAGCUAGAGGAAACCAAAGUCAUAGAACAUCUGAACUCUGUCCAAACAUCGGUCGUAUUUCAAAAUUUCAGAGCCUCAGACUUCCAUGAUAAUAUCUGCCUAGUCUUUAGAAGAGUGUAUGGAAGUGUUCAAGAACCUUUCCUGAAACAACUUCUAUUACAGACACUGCUUCUUCAUGGUUAUUCCAUCAGAUUGCAAUCACUUAUAUGUUUUUUUCCACUCUUCCUUAUAUUAUGAGCACUUUUCACGUAGGGGUUCAUCUCUUUAAUAAUCAUAGCUCCCAACACAAUUGUAGGCUUAUAUUAGAUGCUCGAUAAAGAUGAGUUGAGUUAACAUGUAAAGUAAUGAAUGAGUAAGGAAAAAUAGAAUAGUUUCGAAUUAAUGCAUGUUACUGCUACUGUAAAUUUAAUGUUUUCAUUUCUAUUACUAUUUAUAUAUAAAUUUAAUUAAUUGUUAACUUUCUUUGCCAUCCAUACAUCUAUUUAUCUGCUCAUUUGAAAAUCUCUUUCCUGUUUCCUAUUAUUCAAAAUAUUAAAAGCAAAUAUUACUUAAAUAUUUAAAUCACUCUUUUUCCAUGUUAAGUUUCUCAGGAUGCAGAAUGUUGCUGUACACUGAGAAAUAUUAGGCGAUACAAAAUGGCUACUAUAACGUAAUGUUCUAGAAAAUGAUAAAAGUCAAACCCAUUGGUUUUUGCUGCCAACACAAGUUUGUCAAUGUAAUUAAUGCCCUUUAGCCUGGGAGGGUUGUAUGACAGGAAAAAUGGCAUCAAAGCCAUUUUUAUUUAAAAAAUAAAUUUAAUAUUACUUGAUAAUAAGGGAGCUAUAUAAGCAAAAAUCUUAGAAUUUUCUUUUUCUUUUUUUUCCUUAGUUUCACAUCUUUCUACAUAGUAUCCAAAUCCCAGUUGUUGAUACUAAUUUUCUUGCCUUCUUACCCUUAACAAGUUUGGAGACAAAGUUAAUAUCAUUAGUAGUAUGUAAACUAAUUCCUAAAGCAAAAGUCUCUAAAAGUGUGAUCCAUGUCCCAUUUUUUAUUGGUCUGCAAUGAGGUAAGCACAGAAAUUUUAAUCACCUCCACGCAUACCUUCAAUGAGCAACAUGUACAGUUUUUUGAGACUCUUCUCUCUUUUCCUGUUAUUUUCUGAUUGCAUUUAUAAAAAUGCAAUUUUGUGUUUGUUGAAUCUGAUGAUAAAAAAUGAGGAAACACCGCAUAUUCUCACUCAUAGGUGGGAAUUGAACAAUGAGAUCACAUGGACA
rnacentral:lncRNA from 10 species